ensembl:lncRNA
AUGUGGAACUACCAAGCUGCAAGGAAGCUCCAAGUAGACCAUGCAGACAUGAGCCAGUCAAAUGAGCCAUUGCUACAGACGCCCACUGCCAGUGUUCCCAUGGACAGCAAUGUAGUGGCAAUUAUCAUAGCCACCACAGUUUCUUCCUCCGUGUUCAUCGUGGCCAUUUUGGUGCUGCUGCUGCUUUUGUACCACCGAGACCCUCUGUGCUGCCAGUUUCUCUGCUCUUGCCGUUUCUUCCAGAGCCCUAGUCAAUAUGAUUGCCCUCCCCCUUACUUCAGCAGCAACCAGCGACUGGUGGGACCUCCAUCUGGAACACCGCGUCUGGAGAAUGCUGCUGAAAAUCCUGGUGUGCAGAGAGAUGAACUAUUCUGUGUUGGACCUCCUAGUAGCUAUCAGUUGCCUCCGUGGGAACAGCCUCGUCUGCCAAGCUACGAAAGUGUGCGGAAGAAGGAUCGUCAGCGGGAGAUCCAUCAGAUGAUUGCUGAACGGUUUGGUCUGUGGGCGGACGUUUCUCAGGAGUUACCACCACCCUAUGAGCAGGCCCUGAGGUACCCUGCAACCUUAUCAGGAAUCGGAACGGGUUCAGAGUUGUCAGCUGGACAGAGCUUACCAGACAUGCUCCAAGCUUCGCCCAUGCAUCAGCCUCAAAGAAACACAUCAGUAUAGACUAGGACUUGGUGCCACAGCCUUUUUCUGUGGUAAUGACAGAGUUCGGGACAUGUGCUAUUCUUCUACAGCACUAUCUGUCACCUUUCCUGACACAAUGGGAAUCAAAUGUCACUUUCUAAAGCCAUCAAAAAGCCAACACUUUUUUAAAAAAACAAUACAAAACUUAAUGUUACAGCACAGAGAGUCAAUGCUGGAAGAUCUUCUAGUCCUGAGGACCGCUGGACAAUAGACUCAAUUACUUGGGGACAUGUUAUUUUUUCCAUCUGUCUUUCUCUUUUUGAAGUAUCAGAAGCUGAAAGAACUUUCUUCAUAUUUAGAGAAUCCAGCCACACAGCACUGAAGGCUGGAGUUGGUUACCUCAGGGGUAUCUUUUUGUCUUAGGAAUUUGUAAGCCAAAUAUAAAUGUACAGGAAUUUCAGCCUUCUGCCCUGAAUAUCAAACAUCUGACAGAACUGGUGAAAUGCUCCCUUGGCAUAUUAGAGUGAGACAGUGUGGCUUCCUACCUGAAGGACACUUCUGGAGAAAAUUUGGGAAGGAGAGGGCUGCUAAUUCUGUAAAGUACUGAAGGUAUAAGAUUUUGUUCUUUUGGAUUUGUCUUAUCUACCAUCGCUGAUCAAGGAUUGGGCUAUCAGUUGACAGAAUGAAUGUAUUUUGUCCUCUGGCAGUUUCCAUCAACUUAUUCCUAAGUACUUCUUGAACUCAUGCCAGUGGGAUUUUAUCUUUUCCUUUCUUUCACUCAAAUGCUGCAGGGCAGUUUUGCAAAUGUAAGCAAGAUAAAAGACUCAGCAGAGGGCAGGAUCUGGCGCUUCCUCUGCAUACUCCCUUUCCUCACAAGCCAUAUAACUGUGAAACAGCUACAUGCAGCGAUGAAGAAUUUCCCCCAGGAAGGGAGGAAGAUGCUACUGAUUAUCUUUGUUCACUCCCAUCACAGCUUAUUCUCCUUGAUUGAAUUUCAUUUGGAGCCCAGACAAUCUUGAUAAGCUUAACUCCAAUUUUU